AAUCGCGGAUCAGCAUGCUGCGGUGAAUACGUUCCCGGGCCUUGUACACACCGCCCGUCACACCAUGGGAGUCGGUAACACCCAAAGUUGGUAGCCUAACCGCAAGGAGGGCGCCGCCUAAGGUGGGAUUGAUGACUGGGGUGAAGUCGUAACAAGGUAAC
rnacentral:rRNA from 1 species